GACGAACGCUGGCGGCGUGCCUAAUACAUGCAAGUUGAGCGCUGAAGGGGGGGACUGGUACCAACUGGAUGAGCAGCGAAGGGGUGAGUAACGCGUGGGGAAUCUGCCUUUGAGCGGGGGACAACAUGGGGAAACGAAUGCUAAUACCGAAUAAAAACUGUAAAAACAAGGUUUAAGUCUGAAAGAGGCAAUUGCAUCACGCAAAGAUGAGCCCGCGUUGUAUUAGCUAGGUGGUGAGGUAAAGGCGCACCAAGGCGAUGAUACAUAGACGACCUUAGAGGGUGGUCGGCCCACAUGGGACUUGGACCCCGCCCCACAUCCUUCGGGGGGCAGCAGUAGGGGAUCUUCGGACAUAGACGAAAGUCCGACCGCGCCACGCCGCGGGAGGGAAGAAGGUUCUCGGGUCGUAAAACUCUGUUGGUCGGGAAGAACGUUGGUGGGAGUGGAACGCUCGUCAAGUGACGGUACCUAACCAGAAAGGGCCGGCUAACUACGUG
rnacentral:rRNA from 1 species